GACGAACGCUGGCGGCGUGCUUAACACAUGCAAGUCGAACGAGAACGGGUUAUAGCUUGCUAUAAUUGUCAGCUAAGUGGCGCACGGGUGAGUAAUGUAUAGGUAAUAUGCCUCUUACUAAGGGAUAACAAAUGGAAACGUUUGCUAAUACCUUAUACUCCUUAUUAACAUAAGUUAAUAAGGGAAAGAUUUAUUGGUAAGAGAUUAGCCUGUAUUGUAUCAGUUAGUUGGUGGGGUAAUGGCUUACCAAGACUAUGACACAUAACUGGUUUGAGAGGAUGAGCAGUCACACUGGAACUGAGACACGGUCCAGACUCCUACGGUAGGCAGCAGUGGGGAAUAUUGCACAAUGGACGAAAGUCUGAUGCAGCAACGCCGCGUGGAGGAUGACACAUUUCGGUGCGUAAACUCCUUUUAUAUGAGAAGAUAAUGACGGUAUUAUAUGAAUAAGCACCGGCUAACUCCGUGCCAGCAGCCGCCGUAA
rnacentral:rRNA from 1 species